GUUUUACUGGUUCACAUAUACUAAAAUUGGAAUGUUACAGAGCAGACCAGCAUGGCCCCUGCACAAGGAUGACACGCGAUUAUCAUGAAGCAUUCCAUAUUGUA
rnacentral:snRNA from 1 species